GUGUACUCACCUGCUGGUGGCCAGGGGAGCAGGGGGCCUCAGCCAUCUCUCCACUUGCCGCAGGCAGCACCUGGAAGAGCCGAGAGGGCACCCACAGGUCGCGUCUGCACACCAUGCUCCUGAGGAUACGGCGAUGCAGAGCACCAGGCGAGAGAGGUCGGCCCUGGACACGCACCCCGGAGCACAGAACCGACAAGGUGAUGGGGCGACAGUGAAGAGCCCAUGGCACAGAGCGGAACUGAGGCCAAAGUCCCAGUGGAAGGAGGCCGACAGACUCCUGACGUCAGAAAAGGCCGUUUAAAGGAGGAAGAGUUGACUGUGGUGUUGACCGGAGUGAUGACGACAGCAGACGUGAACAUGCGCUUCUCCAGCGUAAGCGAAUGUCAGGACGUGAAAGGUGCCUGCUCACAGGCACAGCCCAGCCCCCGAGCGGUCCUGAGACCCUGACAGCCAGGAACACGCCUGGCGCCCACAUCCCGGCUCCUCAAUAGCCCUGUCCACUAAGGGAACCAGUGCUCCUUGGAGAAAGAAGGUAUGGGAAAGUGUGAGGUGACCCCAGACUUUCUGCUGUGCUAGAAAGGAGGCUGCCUGAGGGAGGUGGGUGAUGUGAACAGGACCCCGGGCCAGCCAGAAGCCCUCUUGUCAGCUCCGUCUGGAUGGCUGGAGCACCAGGUAUCAACAGCAGCAGUGACAACUCUCACCACGAGUUAAAACGGAAAAUCUGUGCUAAGGAAGUCAGCCGCCCAGCGCCUGUGGAAGGAGCAGUGGGGAGGGCACACGACUGCCCUGGGGCUGAUGAGGAGCCCGAGGAGAAGCGGGCUGCUGCACUCCCCAAGCACCCGCACAGCACCUGUCAGUUUCUGGGGGAAAGCAUCACCUGGUGGGGUGACCCAGAGACGCCCCCAUGCAGGCACCACCCGUGGGUCUGGUGGGAGGCCCUCCAAGACAGUGUCAGCUCUGUGAUAACCCUGCCAAAAUGCAGCCACUGCAGCUCGUCCUGAGGAGGCACUGGACAGACCCCAGUGAGCACCAUCCAUGCCAUGAUGGCCUGUGCUCACCUGAAGUUCCAGGUCAGGCUGGGAAACAACCAGAUGCCCACAUGCCUUGUGGCUCUAAAGGUCGCCUUUGACCAUUGGUGGGAGGCAUGCAAGGCCUUUGAGUGAGAGGUCCUGUCUACUGUUCUUGACACUUUUCAACUCUAAAACUGUCACUACUUUAUCUACUUACUUCUAUCUUUCAAAACAGAAAUAACAGCAGGAGAAACCGCACUAAUGCAGAUGCUGGCCUGGGGGCCACCGAGAGGGGAUUCAGACUCCUGGAGGGCUGUGUUCACAGCUGGCAAAGGUUUAGCAUGAGCAGUGGUUUGUCCUCCCGGCCGCAGGGUCUUCGCUCCCCAACUGGAGGCUGACCUGGCGACGCGGCAGGGAGUGCGCCGUGUCCUACCCUCUGGACCGCCGGGGAACUCCCAGGAAACUCCGCUUUUAAAGUCAUCUUUAAGAACUGAAAACGAGUUCUGGCCUUCCCCGGUGGCCCAGUGGUUAAGAAUUCACCUGCCAAUGCAGGGAACACAGGCUCGAUCCCUGCUCCAGGAGGAUCCCACAUGCCGCAGAGCAGCACCAACUACUGAGCACGGGGUCUAGGGGCUGUGCUUCCCGACACGAGACGCCACCUCAGUGAAAAGUCAGUGUGCAGCAACAAGACCAGCGCAGCCGAAAAUAAAACUCAGACAAAAAUAAGCCUGACUGUAUGACAAGCUGGCAGUAGGACAAUACGGAGAAUCAUUUCCCAGUGACUUGACAUAGUGUUUUGACUGUACCUCCUAAGUGGAUAAAUCCUAAGGACAUAAAGAAAACUUAAAAUGCUAUUAAUAAAUACUAGUAAUAACAUUGA